rnacentral:rRNA from 1 species
AACGUAGGACGCAAGCGUUAUCCGGAGUUACUGGGCGUAAAGCGCGGGCAGGCGGUCGGUCAAGUCUGAUGUGAAAUCUCUCCGCUCAACGGGGAGCAGCCAUUGGAAACUGGGCGACUGGAGUCUGACAGAGGUAGGCGGAAUUCCGGGUGGAGUGGUGAAAUGCGUAGAGAUCCGGAGGAACACCAGAGGCGAAGGCGGCCUACUGGGUCAGUACUGACGCUGAGCCGCGAAAGCCAGGGGAGCGAACGGG